UUCCUUGUCGGGUAAGUUCCGACCUGCACGAAUGGCGUAAUGAUGGCCAGGCUGUCUCCACCCGAGACUCAGUGAAAUUGAACUCGCUGUGAAGAUGCAGUGUACCCGCGGCAAGACGGAAAGACCCCGUGAACCUUUACUAUAGCUUGACACUGAACAUUGAGCCUUGAUGUGUAGGAUAGGUGGGAGGCUUUGAAGUGUGGACGCCAGUCUGCAUGGAGCCGACCUUGAAAUACCACCCUUUAAUGUUUGAUGUUCUAACGUUGACCCGUAAUCCGGGUUGCGGACAGUGUCUGGUGGGUAGUUUGACUGGGGCGGUCUCCUCCUAAAGAGUAACGGAGGAGCACGAAGGUUGGCUAAUCCUGGUCGGACAUCAGGAGGUUAGUGCAAUGGCAUAAGCCAGCUUGACUGCGAGCGUGACGGCGCGAGCAGGUGCGAAAGCAGGUCAUAGUGAUCCGGUGGUUCUGAAUGGAAGGGCCAUCGCUCAACGGAUAAAAGGUACUCCGGGGAUAACAGGCUGAUACCGCCCAAGAGUUCAUAUCGACGGCGGUGUUUGGCACCUCGAUGUCGGCUCAUCACAUCCUGGGGCUGAAGUAGGUCCCAAGGGUAUGGCUGUUCGCCAUUUAAAGUGGUACGCGAGCUGGGUUUAGAACGUCGUGAGACAGUUCGGUCCCUAUCUGCCGUGGGCGCUGGAGAACUGAGGGGGGCUGCUCCUAGUACGAGAGGACCGGAGUGGACGCAUCACUGGUGUUCGGGUUGUCAUGCCAAUGGCACUGCCCGGUAGCUAAAUGCGGAAGAGAUAAGUGCUGAAAGCAUCUAAGCACGAAACUUGCCCCGAGAUGAGUUCUCCCUGACUCCUUGAGAGUCCUGAAGGAACGUUGAAGACGACGACGUUGAUAGGCCGGGUGUGUAAGCGCAGCGAUGCGUUGAGCUAACCGGUACUAAUGAACCGUGAGG
rnacentral:rRNA from 1 species